rnacentral:lncRNA from 1 species
UUUUUUUUUUUACUCACUAACUAGUCUAGGGUCGAAAUGUAGAGAGAGAAAAUGUGAUAAAUAAUCUAAACCAGGCGUUACCUUCCAGACCUGUCUGAAGAAUCCGAUCCCAUGUAUACCAAGCCCCAAGACAAGCGGUUAUGUCAGGUUUAGUGUUGGAAAUCAGUUUUGGUUACUUCAUACGGUUCAAGGCAAGUGUGUAGUUGAUAGGUUGAUCCGCUUUAGCAUCUUUAGUGCUAUCUGCAAUCAGUAAAUCUAAAAUGGUGCUAAAGAUUGGUUAGAUAUUCAUGUUUAAAUCAAUAUAGGAUUAUAGUCCCUAUU